rnacentral:rRNA from 1 species
CCAAUAGCGUAUAUUAAAGUUGUUGCAGUUAAAAAGCUCGUAGUUGAAUUUCGGGAUCAAAUUGUCAGUUGUGCCUCAGUACGCACUGGCAUUAUUGGUUCCUACCUUCUGAAGAACCAUGAUGUCAUUAAUUUGGUGUCAUGAGGAAUCAGGACUGUUACUUUGAAAAAAUUAGAGUGUUUAAAGCAGGCGCACGCUUGAAUACAUUAGCAUGGAAUAAUGAAAUAGGACGUUUGAUUCUAUUUUGUUAGUUUCUAGAAUUGACGUAAUGAUUAAUAGGGAUAGUUGGGGGAAUUAGUAUUCAAUUGUAAGAGGUGAAAUGCUUGGAUUGAUUGAAGACUAAAUACGGCGAAAGCAUUUGCCAAGGAUGUAUUCAUUAAUCAAGAACGAAAGUUAGGGGAUCAAAGACGAUCAGAUACAGUUGUAGUUUUAACAAUAAACUAUGCCAACUAGGGAUCAGAUGAUGUUAAUUUUUUAAUGACUCAUUUGGCAGCUUACG